UUUAGUGGCCGCAAGUGAAAUGGAUUUUUUGACAUUUGAUUGACAGUUGACAGUUCUGUGAUUUGCAUCGGCGCAGUCCUUCGUUGUUGCGCUUGCGUUUCGUUGUGUACUGUGCUAUUUCGUGUGUGUUUCUUCUUAUUACGACCCUAUUUACCACCCCUUGACGCCGAUAUCUUCCUCAUCUGACGACCUUUGCUUACCAUACCUGACACCGUUAUAAAUCCGCCCUGUUGACAAUUGGUUGACAAUGCCGCCAUCAGCAAGUCGACGUAUACUUUGCAUAAACUGCAAUGUCUGUAUAAAUACGUUCCGACGUUAUCUCGUUCAAGAGCUGAACACAAGGGUUAUUUCGUUACUUAGCGAGUGGAUAUCACCAGUAAUUAUUACUGAGGACGAUUACAUUUGUGAACCUUGUAAUGAACUCCUCAUGAGGAGCAUAAACCAGCAAUUAACAACAAGCUGUGAUGGUGCUCAGGCUUCUGGGUCAUCUCAACUUGGACGUUGACAAGUGUGCAGUAUUUGUGGACGGUCUACUUAUUGACAAUCCUUCAGAAGAGCAAAGACAGAUUAAUGCUGUUAUACAAACAAGAAUUGCGCCACGUCAGGUACCUAUUUAUGUUUCUAUAUUGUUUAUUAUCAUAUUUCUUCUUGAUAAAAAUGAUCAUAACUGUCAGUGAUUGACCUGUGCUGUAAUAGUUAUAACCACAAAUAAAAAAUAAUGUACAUAA